GGGCGAGUAAAGUGGCGCACGGGUGAGUAACGCGUGGAUAAUCUACCCUUAAGAUGGGGAUAACGGCUGGAAACGGUCGCUAAUACCGAAUACGCUCCCGAUUUUAUCAUUGGGGGGAAAGAUGGCCUCUGCUUGCAAGCUAUCGCUUAAGGAUGAGUCCGCGUCCCAUUANCUAGUUGGCGGGGUAACGGCCCACCAAGGCAACGAUGGGUAGCCGGUCUGAGAGGAUGACCGGCCACACUGGAACUGGAACACGGUCCAGACUCCUACGGGAGGCAGCAGUGGGGAAUAUUGCGCAAUGGGCGAAAGCCUGACGCAGCGACGCCGCGUGAGGGAUGAAGGUUCUCGGAUCGUAAACCUCUGUCAGGGGGGAAGAAACCCCCUCGUGUGAAUAAUGCGAGGGCUUGACGGUACCCCCAAAGGAAGCACCGGCUAACUCCGUGCCAGCAGCCGCGGUAAUACGGAGGGUGCAAGCGUUAAUCGGAAUCACUGGGCGUAAAGCGCACGUAGGCGGCUUGGUAAGUCAGGGGUGAAAUCCCACAGCCCAACUGUGGAACUGCCUUUGAUACUGCCAGGCUUGAGUACCGGAGAGGGUGGCGGAAUUCCNNGUGUAGGAGUUGAAAUC
rnacentral:rRNA from 1 species